GAUGAACGCUGGCGGCGUGCCUAAUACAUGCAAGUCGAGCGAACAGACGAGGAGCUUGCUCCUCUGACGUUAGCGGCGGACGGGUGAGUAACACGUGGAUAACCUACCUAUAAGACUGGGAUAACUUCGGGAAACCGGAGCUAAUACCGGAUAAUAUAUUGAACCGCAUGGUUCAAUAGUGAAAGACGGUUUUGCUGUCACUUAUAGAUGGAUCCGCGCCGCAUUAGCUAGUUGGUAAGGUAACGGCUUACCAAGGCAACGAUGCGUAGCCGACCUGAGAGGGUGACGGGCCACACUGGAACUGAGACACGGUCCAAACUCCGACGGGAGGCAGCAGUAGGGAAUCUUCCGCAAUGGGCGAAAGCCUGACGGAGCAACGCCGCGUGAGUGAUGAAGGUCUUCGGAUCGUAAAACUCUGUUAUUAGGGAAGAACAAAUGUGUAAGUAACUAUGCACGUCUUGACGGUACCUAAUCAGAAAGCCACGGCUAACUACGUGCCAGCCGCCGCGGUAA
rnacentral:rRNA from 1 species